rnacentral:rRNA from 1 species
UACGUAGGCAGCGAGCGUUGUUCGGAUUUACUGGGCGUAAAGGGCGCGUAGGCGGCCAGCACAAGUCAGUUGUGAAAUCUCCGGGCUUAACUCGGAACGGUCAACUGAUACUGUGCGGCUAGAGUGCAGAAGGGGCAACUGGAAUUCUUGGUGUAGCGGUGAAAUGCGUAGAUAUCAAGAGGAACACCUGCGGCGAAGGCGGGUUGCUGGGCUGACACUGACGCUGAGGCGCGAAAGCUAGGGGAGCGAACAGG